ACUCAAAGGAAUUGACGGGGGCCCGCACAAGCGGUGGAGCAUGUGGUUCAAUUCGACGCAACGCGAAGAACCUUACCUGGGUUGGAACCCCCCGGAAGGCCCCAGAGACGGGGCUUUGCCCGCAAGGGAGCCGGGUGUCCAGGUGCUGCAUGGCUGUCGUCAGCUCGUGUCGUGAGAUGUUGGGUUAAGUCCCGCAACGAGCGCAACCCUUGUCGUUAGUUGCCAGCGGUUCGGCCGGGCACUCUAACGAGACUGCCGGUGUUAAACCGGAGGAAGGUGGGGAUGACGUCAAGUCCUCAUGGCCCUUAUGCCCAGGGCUACACACGUGCUACAAUGGCCGGUACAAAGGGCUGCAAACCCGCGAGGGGGAGCUAAUCCCAAAAAACCGGUCUCAGUUCAGAUUGCAGUCUGCAACUCGACUGCAUGAAGUCGGAAUCGCUAGUAAUCCCUGAUCAGCAGGCAGGGGUGAAUACGUUCCCGGGCCUUGUACACACCGCCCGU
rnacentral:rRNA from 1 species